rnacentral:rRNA from 1 species
UGGGGAAUUUUGCGCAAUGGGCGAAAGCCUGACGCAGCAACGCCGCGUGAGUGAUGAAGGCUCUUGGGUCGUAAAGCUCUGACAGAGGGAAAGAAGUGCACGGGUGCUAAUACCAUCUGUGUUUGACGGUACCCUCAAAGGAAGCACCGGCUAACUCCGUGCCAGCAGCCGCGGUAAUACGGAGGGUGCGAGCGUUGUUCGGAUUUAUUGGGCGUAAAGCGCGUGUAGGCGGUUUAUUAAGUCUGAUGUGAAAGCCCCGGGCUCAACCUGGGAAGUGCAUUGGAUACUGGUAGACUUGAAUACGGGAGAGGGCAGUGGAAUUCCUGGUGUAGGAGUGAAAUCCGUAGAUAUCAGGAGGAACACCGGUGGCGAAGGCGGCUGCCUGGACCGAUAUUGACGC